AAUUGCGGGGUCUGUUGCUGACGCGCAACGUGGAAGAUGGAGCACGCCGACGUGCCGUGACAAGAGUUUCUAGACGUACUAGGACCCCAAAGUGGCGGCCACAAUGACGACAAUGCAAACCAGCCAAGGAAUCUCCGAGGAGGAACAAUUGAGACGUCACGCGUUGGCGCUCUGAAUCUGCUGGACAUUUCCACGAAGAAACGACGUGUGCUGAUUGAAGUUUACGGCGCGUGAAAAAAGGGACGAGGAGAGCGUCGAACUUUUGGACUGCUGCAGGGAGGUGACUGCAGCGGAGAACUCCAACGCAAGGAACGCCAGUGCAGAGCAGCGUUCUGGAAGACAACAAAUGGCCACAUGGUUUUUCCUAGCGGCCGGCUGCGGCGGUGCAGCGGCUCUGACCCUGUGCUGCAGAUCACGAGGUCCCGGGGUCGAUUCCCGCCUGCAGCGGCCUCCUUGCGAUGGGGGCCGAGCGCAAAAAACGCUCUUGCGGCUUGCCGCGGAAUUGAUUUUGUCGACUUGGUCAUCCCCGUCUUUUUCAUUGUACGCAGAUUGCGCUGCUGCCCAACGGCUUCACCACCAGAGCGGCCACGCAUGUGCGCGCUCUCGAACGCAACUGCGCCGCCGAUUGUGGCUGACGGAACGGCAAGCAAAGAACCAGUGCAAGCACGGGUCGUCAUCGACGCACCUCGGCGGCGCAGCUACCUCGUCACGGAUGCGCUCGCGUAAUCCGAAGCAAGCACUCACCAGCAUAUACGACCGCAUCAAACCGGACGGCGCUCCAGUGGACUUGGUGGCACCGACCGGAGGCCGAUGCAUAUCCCCGUCUUUUUCAUUGUGCAGGGCGGAAUUGUACCCACGUCAUGCAGGUUCAUCAAGCAUAACAGCCCGAUGCUAUAGCAAGCUUCUCCACGGAAUGCACGCCAUCUCUUCAGCGAGCUGCGCCACGAAUGCACCGGUUGCUUUGAAUUUUGCCGCCCAAGGCUCGAAGAACCAGCACUCUUGCCCUGCUGCCAGCAGCCAUUGGUCAUCCAUUCCCUUGGACGAAAUAAAUGCGAUCUAAAAGCUCCUGCAUCUUGAAUCUUUUUCCACGUUCAGAUUUGCUGCUACGAACACCUGUUUAUUCUGCGGUAUGAAUGAAUAGUAAAAAUAAGCUUUGCAUAAAAUAUGCGGAUGUGAACGUUUGAAAUGCGUUUAAAUCUACGUGUCUGCACCGCGUAUAUCGAAAACGCGCAGCUGCUGUAAACGACGGUUAGUUAUAAAUGACGCUCUGUUAAGGACCACUGACAGAGCCGCAGGGACGAUAGUUCUCUUGGCAACAAGCAUUAAUCGCCUGGUUUCGGCAGCAAGAAUGCGCUCACAUAAUUAUCAACUUUACGUGUAUGAAAUUUUCUUUAAACACCCUUCAAACAAUUUCUAGCCUUUUGGCCUCGGCGAAAAAAAAACAUAUGCAUGCUGAAAAACAUUACACCGCGUUUUGUUGCAAGGUAAUGCACUUCUGCAGCGAACUUUUGAGCUGUUCAAGCCGCGGGCGUAGUCAGGAUUUUACUUCGGGGGGAGGAGGGUCCUGCUCCCCUAUAUGCAGGUAAGUGCGUGUUUGUGUAUGUACGUAUACGUGUACGUGUAUACGCUCGAACCACUGGCUACGCCAAUGGUUCCAGCGUAACCUGCAUUAAUAACUGCCAUCUUGCUCAGCGCUUGUGAACAAUUGCCGCAUGUAGCUCGCGACCAGCAAAAAAAAAAAAAAACGCUAAUGGAAUAUCGCGCGGCAUUUGCCUCAUGCGCGCGUGAGGAGUGGCUUCACUGCAUAGCUGGAACAUAAUGGCGAACGCAUGCGCAACUCUGCUCCCUUAUAUGCUUCCUGCGGGAGCAUAUAAGGGAGCGCGCGCGCGCACACACACACACACACACACGCACGCACGCAUGCACGCACGCGCACGCGCACGCGCACGCGCACACGCACACGCACACGCGCACGCGCACACGCACACGCACACACACACACACACACACACACACACACACGCACACGCACACACGCACGCAAGAGAGGCCUGUAAACACUGCGGGGCUUCCGCUAAGACCGGCAGACACUCGAAAUGGUAGUGGCGAAUUAGGAAGUCACGCUUCAUUUCGACGAGGCAAGGUGAGAGAAGGUCGGGUGAAAUCCCUUUUUGCACGUGGUGCCAGACGCCAACCAUAACAAGGCUUACAAGCAACUCGGGCACAUACUACGUUUCAUGAAAGCGACUGGCCUCAGUGACCGAUUAUAGGCGUGAAGUUAUGGAUAUCCGCACGCAUUCACACCGAUAGUACCUUCUUCUCUCCCUCUCCGUUCUUUCCCCCUUAAACCCUUUCCCCUGUGUAGGGUAGCAAACCGGACGUGCGUCCGGUUGAUCUCCUUUCCUUUUCAUCCUCCUCCUGCUCGGCAAGAAUUACAGUACAUAACCGGACCUACCCUGCAACGCUCGUUGUCCUCUAACAGUGCUCGCGAGACGUAAGUCUCGGUAUGGACUUGCUGAACCAACACGACGACAUCAUUCACUUGAGGUUGAAGUCGAUAACACUGUCCACAGACCAAGCGAUACUGACGGAGAGGCCUUUCAGUCAGCUUGCCUUGAGUGUACUUGAGGACCAAGGCAGCAUCUCACCACGCCCCAGCAUUGUCAUUUCA